rnacentral:rRNA from 1 species
AGAGUUGAUCAUGGCUCAGGAUGAACGCUAGCUACAGGCUUAACACAUGCAAGUCGAGGGGCAGCAUCAGGUUAGCUUGCUAACCUGGAUGGCGACCGGCGCACGGGUGAGUAACGCGUAUCCAACCUUCCCCCUGCUCAGGGAUAGCCCGGUGAAAACCGGAUUAAGACCUGAUAGUUUCACUAGAUGGCAUCUGACGGUGAAUAAAGGUUUCGGCAAGGGAUGGGGAUGCGUCUGAUUAGCUUGUUGGCGGGGUAACGGCCCACCAAGGCGACGAUCAGUAGGGUUCUGAGAGGAAGGUCCCCCACAUUGGAACUGAGACACGGUCCAAACUCCUACGGGAGGCAGCAGUGAGGAAUAUUGGUCAAUGGGCGGAAGCCUGAACCAGCCAAGUAGCGUGCAGGAUGACGGCCCUAUGGGUUGUAAACUGCUUUUGUGCGGGAAUAAAGUCAGGGACGCGUCCCUGUUUGCAUGUACCGCAAGAAUAAGGACCGGCUAAUUCCGUGCCAGCCGCCGC